UGGAGGUCAUCUCUGGCCCUGUUGGAUGUGUUGUGCUCUGAGCAUUUAACACCUCAUAGGAGUUUAAUGAGCCCCAAAUGUUCAUUGGGCAUUCUCCUUUCAGAGACACAGAACAGCAGUUUUGGUCAAACAGCCUGGAAGCAUAUAUAUAUAUGCACUGACCCAGAGGACAUCCAGCCACCCACCCCAGGCAUGGAUUCCAGGCAACUAAGGAGCUCAGAUCCGGCAAGCACAGAUCACCCACUCAACUUGUAGCCAGGAGGGACCAGUUCCUGGAGCACCACUGACACAGUUGGCUCACCCAGGCAGCUGCAACAGCACAUGAUGACCCUGAGGCAGCACUCUUGCAGGGCCCUGCACCCUCUAGCAUCCAGAUGUUGGCCCUGCACAGGCAAGAGACAGAUGCCUUUUGUGCAAGUUUGCAACACUGCAGCGAUAAGAUGGUCUGCACCAGGGGCCCUGCUCUACCCGGCCUCAAAUCAGAGAUUGGCAGUGCAAGGGUGCCCAGAGAACAUGCAUUCUGACAGAACUGAUCAGCCAGGUCAAGGAAUCUUAUUGUGCUGGCCAUGAUGUCCCAGUGAGCUGCUGCCUCGCGCUCUUCAAUCUUUUGGAAAGCGUUGCAUUUCAUCACCCAAAUCAUCUGUGGCCUGUACAGGCAGUCCUCGCACUUACAGCAGGUUACAUUCCUAGAAAAGGCACUGUAAGUUGAAACGAUGCAAGUCAAAUCUGAUUUUUCCCAUAGAAACUAUGUUAUAACAGGGGGUUACGUUCCUGACCAAGGGCCUGAUGCCCAACUUUUGUGCAAGGUUGUUCCUCUCGCAAUAAUUCUGAACAGCUGGCACAAAACAGUCAGUGAACCAUUCCUCAAAAAGGUCCCCAGUCACCCAAGCUUUAUGAUUUGAUUUCCCAAUGACUGGAAGGCUGCCUUUAACAUAACCCUUAAGUGCUCUGGGAUUUUCAGAGUGAUAAAGAAGCAAGGGUUUGAGCUUGAAAUUACCCGCAGCAUUUGAACCAAGCAAAAGGGUAAGCCUAUCUUUAGCUGCUUUAAAACCAGACAUAUUUUUUCUUGUUGGGCGAGGUAUUUUCUUCCAGAACAGCCCAGUCUCAUCGACAUUGAAGACUUGCUUGGCACAAUAACCUCUUCAAUGAUUUUAGCCAAUUUUUUAGGAAAAUCUUGAGCUGCAAUCUCAUCAGCACUAGCAGCUUCACCUUGCACUCUGAUGUUAUGCAAGACAUACCUGCUUUGAGAGCCCGGAGGGCACUCACCGAAGGCGUGCCCCUAGCCAGGGACAGGAAUCACUUCACGCUGCGAUAGCCAGGCUACAACAGGAACUACCAAUCCGCACCAGCCCGGCUUUACCUCCAUGCCAGGUGAAGCAGACUGGAGCCAAUUUGCAGCGCGGGCUAUAUCUGAAGGCCGGGGGCAGAUGGUGGGGAGAGGGAUGCUGAAGGAGCAGAGCUGGAAAACCGAGGAGCCAGAAGUGUGGGUGAGCCCUUGGUCUGAUGGGGAGGAGGCAGUGACAUCCUCACCGCAGGAGUGAAGAGGAGGGUAGCAGAGGUCAGCCGGCAGAAGGGGAUCCGGGAAAGACCCCUGGGAACCACAGAGGUGAGGGAUCUGCCCAAACCGUUCACUGCAGUGUUGUUUUUUUUUCUCUCCGUACCUUUUUUUUUUCUCCCUUGUGCUUUGAUCUCUCCCGUGGAUGUCUCUUGGCCGGUCAAAGAGUUCCGACCAAGGCCAGGCAUCUGGUCAGGAAGCGAAGAGAAGCGAGUCCCUGGAGAGGCUCUGUGGCUGAGACAAGGGUAGGCAGAAACCUUGAGCAGCGAGGACCAUGUUCCGUCCCCAGCUGAUCACUCUGGAGGGAAUCCCCAGCUGUGGAAGCAGUGCUUGCUGGUAAUUAAGCCUGCUGUGGAUUAGCUUUAAAGUUCUGGGGAAGAGACCAAGGCAGAAAGGUGGACCACUGAAGAUCCUGGGGGAACAGCCUCAGGCAACAGGACACCUUGCAGAUGCCCAGAAGAAGAGGGCAAAGGUCAAAGGACUUUUGGAG